rnacentral:rRNA from 1 species
UACGUAGGUGGCAAGCGUUAUCCGGAUUUACUGGGUGUAAAGGGCGUGUAGGCGGGGACGCAAGUCAGAUGUGAAAACCACGGGCUCAACCUGUGGCCUGCAUUUGAAACUGUGUUUCUUGAGUACUGGAGAGGCAGACGGAAUUCCUAGUGUAGCGGUGAAAUGCGUAGAUAUUAGGAGGAACACCAGUGGCGAAGGCGGUCUGCUGGACAGCAACUGACGCUGAGGCGCGAAGGCGUGGGGAGCAAACAGG